CUGAGCGGUUCGCAAGGACCGCUGAGCGCCAGACAGGAGUUAGCAGCGGGCAUAUUAGGGCGGCGACGCCUGAAGGCC
rfam:Candidatus Burkholderia crenata strain TZHbot9 BCREchr_ctg137, whole genome shotgun sequence.